GUCCUCACUUCAGCAGCACAUAUACUUGAAGUGGAAUGAUACAGAGAUAAUUAGCAUGGCCCCUGCACAAGGGUGACACACAAAUUCUUGAAGAAUUCCAUAUUUUU